rnacentral:rRNA from 1 species
UACAGAGGUCCCAAGCGUUUGUUCGGAUUCACUGGGCGUAAAGGGUGCGUAGGUGGCGUGGUAAGUUUGAUGUGAAAGCUCAGGGCUUAACCCUGAAAUGGCAUUGAAUACUACUGUGCUGGAGGUUUGGAGGGGGGACUGGAAUUCUUGGUGUAGCAGUGAAAUGCGUAGAUAUCAAGAGGAACACCAGUGGCGAAGGCGAGUCCCUGGACAACACCUGACACUGAGGCACGAAAGCUAGGGGAGCAAACAGG